UACGGGGGGGGCAAGCGUUGUUCGGAAUUACUGGGCGUAAAGGGCGCGUAGGCGGCCUUCUAAGUCGGACGUGAAAUCCCCGGGCUCAACCCGGGAACUGCGUCCGAUACUGGGAGGCUCGAAUCCGGGAGAGGGAUGUGGAAUUCCAGGUGUAGCGGUGAAAUGCGUAGAUAUCUGGAGGAACACCGGUGGCGAAGGCGGCAUCCUGGACCGGUAUUGACGCUGAGGCGCGAAAGCCAGGGGAGCAAACGGG
rnacentral:rRNA from 1 species